UACAGCAAGAUGUGACGAUUGCAGUUUUAAAAGUGCAGUUACACUGCAAGGGGUGCAUAAAGAAAAUCCUCGAAAUUGUGAACAAAACAAAAAGUGAGUAGCUACCAUGUUACGUUUACUAAAUUGAAGUGCUCAACGGAGACAUUGAUGGCAUUAUUGGGUAUGAAGUUGUGCAAAUAGACAGAUGGAAGGAUUUAAUGACAAUGAUGGGAGCAAUGGACAUGAAGGCUUUGGCUGAGUCUCUGAAUGAACAUAGGAGGAUUUGAUAUUUUGCUCAUCUAGACGAUUACCCUUUGCAAUCAAAUUUGGAUUAAACCGACUGCUUUCAUGAAGAAAAUAAAAUAAUACUCUUAAGAUAUAUAUUCGUUUGCAAAUUCCUGCUUCUUUUUCACAUUGUAUAUAGUUCUGUUGGCAUUAUGUACAAGUUUGAUUUACUUCCAAUCUCAAAUGUUGUGAUUGUUUGCUAAACUGCCAUUCUUGAACCUUGCAAGAUAAUGAAGUUGUCACUAUCCAUGUUUGUUAUUUUCUUAUGUAAUGUUCAAGGCAUUGAGUCAUUGACAUAUAUGUACUGUUGGG
rnacentral:lncRNA from 1 species